ACCCAGUGAUGAUCCCAAGGCGAAUGUGAGCUCUCUGAAUCAGGGGCUGGGCUCUCCUGCACACACACACUCUGGCCGGUAAUCUUGGCAGGGCAGCGGAGGUUUGCUGCUCUGCUGUAAGGGCCGGCCUACAUCAAACCCAGUCCUGCUCCUAAUGCCUUCUCGCAAAGACACGCGCAGAAGGACAGAGGGUGGGACUUACUGUGUUUGUGUCUGUCUGUGUGUGUGUGUGUCUGUCUGUCUGACUGUCUGUGCACAUGUGCGUGCAGGUUGAGACUCUGUCCUCGGUGGAAUUCACUGAGCUAUGAGCUGCUUCUUUAAUCUGAGGGUA